UACGGAGGAUGCAAGCGUUAUCCGGAUUUAUUGGGUUUAAAGGGUGCGUAGGCGGGAUAAUAAGUCAGUGGUGAAAGCCUGUAGCUUAACUAUAGAAUUGCCAUUGAUACUGUUAUUCUUGAGUACAGUUGAGGUAGGCGGAAUGUGUAAUGUAGCAGUGAAAUGCUUAGAUAUUACACAGAACACCAAUUGCGAAGGCAGCUUACUAAGCUGGAACUGACGCUGAGGCACGAAAGCGUGGGGAGCAAACAGGAUUA
rnacentral:rRNA from 1 species